rnacentral:rRNA from 1 species
CGUAGGGUGCGAGCGUUAAUCGGAAUUACUGGGCGUAAAGCGUGCGCAGGCGGUUUUGUAAGACAGAUGUCGAAAUCCCCGGGCUCAACCUGGGACCUGCAUUUGUGACUGCAAGGCUAGAGUACGGUAGAGGGGGAUGGAAUUCCGCGUGUAGCAGUGAAAUGCGUAGAUAUGCGGAGGAACACCGAUGGCGAAGGCAAUCCCCUGGACCUGUACUGACGCUCAUGCACGAAAGCGUGGGGAGCAAACAGGAUUAGAUACCCUGGUAGUCCACGCCCUAAACGAUGUCAACUGGUUGUUGGGUCUUUACUGACUCAGUAACGAAGCUAACGCGUGAAGUUGACCGCCGUGGGGAGUACGGCCGCAAGGUUG